ACAACACAUGACAUGCAAAGCCUAAAAUCUGUACUAUCUGACUUUUUACAGAAAAAGUUUGCUGACUUUGUGCCAGAGUCAAAGAUGCUUGUCAGUCAACGAUGCUUCCCGAAACUGCCUUAAAAUUCACAUUCCUCCUUGCUGGGAUCCAAAGGCCAAAAGAGCUCUGAUGAAUAGAGAAGUUCAGGAUUGGAAGGAGGCGUUAGUGGGCAUCCAGAGCAAUUACUCAUUUGAGGCCAGCAUCUCCCAAGGGUACCUCCUCAAGAGAUCCUCUGGUGGUGGAGGCACAUCAUUUCCUGAAGCAGCCAACUCACCUUCUUUGGGAAGUUCUGGCUGUUGGAAAAUGACUUCUUACCCUGAGCUAAAAUCUGGUGGGCAGAAAAAAUUGUUCAAAUUUUAUUAUUCAUGGUCCCAUUUCCAGCCUUUGGAGGAAGAAGACUCCAUCACCAGCCAGGUGGGCCAUGCUGCCUGCCUUGUGUGGAGCAGCGUGAUGAGCGGGGAGGAGAUCUGCACAAGUUGGAGCACUCUGCGUGGGAAAAGGUGCUGGAUGCCCUAGAGAGAAAGAUCCUGAGAAGGAAUGCUGGAGGGGCAUGGCUGGACAGGGAUGCGGCGGGAGAGGAGCUGCAGAUGAAACUCAGGCUUUGGAAAGCAAAACAAACAAUCAAACAAAUAAAGAGAGAGCGGAUUAUGGACCUCCAUCAAUGGUGCCAAAGGAAAAAAAAAGCUAACAGGGGUGAGUGAGUGUUGGGUGAGUGUUUGUCUGUGUGCCUGACUGGCACAGUACCUGCCGUAGCUCCUUACAUCUUUACAACACCACGGAGAAGUGUGUGUCAUUAGAGCCAUUUUGCAAAGGAGGAGAUGAAAACUCAGAGGAGAGGAGCAACUUGCAACUUGCAACUUGUUUAUGUUGCUGCAAAAUGAUGAAAUUGGAAUUGGAAGCCAGACUGCAUUCAAAGCUGAAACAUUUCAAUAUUUUUUCCUUAUACCAUACUAAACAAGCGGAAGGCAGUGCCUCCCCUGCGGCUCUCUUUCUUUCCUCCUCACCUCCUGGUCUUUGUACCUGCUCUCUCACAAGUGUGCACCACCCUCUGCCCACUCCACACAGCGUCUAUAUAGAGAAGGAAGGAAGGAAGGGAAGCUGCCCCAAGAAGUCCCCAAUGUUCAGUGGACGCUGGUCUUUGUUGUACAUGGGCAGCGAUUCCUUUAGAAAAGGCAGCAACAUUGAACUGGGCAAGGUUGGAGAUUCCGCGAGCAGUGGACUUGGGGAGGUGCCAGGAAAAGCGCAGAGCUGUUUCCAAAUUGUUUUGGAGGAUUUUGUGCUUGUGUGUUUUUCUGAGUGUUCCUGUUUCUCAUCCUGGCUUUCUGGCAAUGCCUGCAGGUGAAGGUGCUGGUAAAGAUGCAGAAAAGGACACUUUGGAGCAUUGGAUGGACAAAGGACAGUAGGGAAGAUGUUUUACCCACAGUGAAGUACACGGGAAUGACCUCGGGUCGCAUGCAGCCUCUGUAUUAAAUAACAUCAACACAUAUUGGGAGAGAGUUGUGGCCCUUUUCAAUGCUGAGUAGAGCAAGGAGAAAAUCUCCUGUGGUGCAAGCAUGAUUUUAACACCUUUUAACACUUGCUCUGCUGCCAUUUCAACAGAGAGGGGCAAGCAGCAGGCAGGGGUCCUUGGGGCGUCAAUAGCACCCAGCUAGAAUUUUCUUAGGUUGUUUUGUUUUCUUUUAGUUAUAUUUCUAUCUUUGGCACGUGAUUUUGGUUUUCUGCUUAAGGUAGUGAUAAGGGGUCCCUUUUAAAUACAUGCGUUUAAGUAAAGAAAGUCAACUUAAAGAAGAAUAGUUGAGUAAAUAAUAAGAUUGGUGGUAUGUAGAUGUGGCAAAAAUGAUGAAAUGGCACUAAAAUGAUUGAAAUUUGGG